rnacentral:snRNA from 10 species
GUGCCGUAAACUAAUGAGUAAGGAAAAUAAACGAUCCCCGGUGACGCGGGGUUCAGAGGGUUUUUCCCUUCCUCCGAUUUUUGAGGGGGUAAAGGUCACCUUGCUGUGAAAGCUUACUUUGCUAUUCGCAGUCAUUGAGGGAUCUCCCCU